rnacentral:rRNA from 1 species
GACGAACGCUGGCGGCGUGCUUAACACAUGCAAGUCGAACGGAAAGGCCUCUUUCGGGGGGUACUCGAGUGGCGAACGGGUGAGUAACACGUGAGUAACCUGCCCUUGACUUUGGGAUAACUUCAGGAAACUGGGGCUAAUACCGGAUAGGAGCUCCUGCUGCAUGGUGGGGGUUGGAAAGUUUCGGCGGUUGGGGAUGGACUCGCGGCUUAUCAGCUUGUUGGUGGGGUAGUGACUUACCAAGGCUUUGACGGGUAGCCGGCCUGAGAGGGUGACCGGCCACAUUGGGACUGAGAUACGGCCCAGACUCCUACGGGAGGCAGCAGUGGGGAAUAUUGCACAAUGGGUGGAAGCCUGAUGCAGCAACGCCGUGUGCGGGAUGACGGCCUUCGGGUUGUAAACCGCUUUCGCUCAUGACGAAGCUUUGUGUGACGGUAGUGGGUAAAGAAGCACCGGCUAACUACGUG